AGAGUUUGAUCAUGGCUCAGGACGAACGCUGGCGGCGUGCCUAAUACAUGCAAGUCGAGCGGAUUGAUUUGGGGCUUGCUCCAAUGAUGUCAGCGGCGGACGGGUGAGUAACACGUGGGUAACCUGCCUGACAGACUGGGAUAACGCUUGGAAACGAGUGCUAAUACCGGAUAGGCUUCCUGAUCGCAUGGUUGGGAAGGGAAAGAGGCUAUCGCCUCACUGUUAGAUGGACCCGCGGCGCAUUAGCUAGUUGGUGAGGUAAUGGCUCACCAAGGCGACGAUGCGCAGCCGACCUGAGAGGGUGACCGGCCACGCUGGGACUGAGACACGGCCCAGACUCCUACGGGAGGCAGCAGUAGGGAAUCUUCCACAAUGGGCGCAAGCCUGAUGGAGCAACGCCGCGUGAGUGAUGAAGGCCUUCGGGUUGUAAAACUCUGUCUUCUGUGACGAACAAGCCUGUGAGUGGAAAGCUCAGGCCCUGACGGUAACAGAGGAGGAAGCCACGGCUAACUACGUGCCAGCAGCCGCGGUAAUACGUAGGUGGCAAGCGUUGUCCGGAAUCACUGGGCGUAAAGCGCGCGCAGGCGGCGAUCUACGUCUGGGGUGAAAGCUCUGGAGCUCAACUCUCGGGACUGCCUUGGAUACGGGAUCGCUUGAGGAUUGGAGAGGCAAGGGGAAUUCUACGUGUAGCGGUGAAAUGCGUAGAUAUGUGGAGGAACACCUGUGGCGAACGCGCUUUGCUGGUCAAUUUCUGACGCUGAGGCGCGAAAGCGUGGGGAGCAAACAGGAUUAGAUACCCUGAUAGUCCACGCUGUAACGAUGAGUGCUAGGUGUGGGGGGUAUCACUCCUCAGUGCCGAGCUAACGCAUAAGCACUGCGUCUGGGGAGUACGGUCGCA
rnacentral:rRNA from 1 species